rnacentral:antisense_RNA from 1 species
CUUGACCGAGCCGAGCCACAGCGGCCGGUCCCCCGCCGGACGUUCCUGGCCGUAGGUGGCCAGCAGGGCCUGGGCCUC